AUAGCUUUCCGAUGGAUUCUAAAAGUUCUUUUCUAGAGAAGCUCCAAAAUAGCUUCUCCCAAAAGGCUCUUUUACCUUCUUGACAAAACUAAAAAUAGCUUUUCAAAAAUUUUACUAAAUAUUUCUAUUUUAUUUAAAAGUACUUUUGGAGAUUCAAAAAGUAUGUUUUAGCCCUCCAAAAGCUUUUCCAAAACGGACCUCAUUCAUCUUAUUUUGUUAUGGGCCGAGAUAGGUCUCGGGCUGAAGGCCCAGGAUGUCGUAGCGAACUUUCUUAUUAGGCUAGCGAAAUUAUACAGCAUCGCCGUUUAUUGUCACCAAUCCAGAAGGAUAUACUUAUCCGGGAUAGUCUAAAGAACCAAACUCAGGAACGGCAAAACCUCUCUUCGACCGCCCUCUCUCUCGCCCUCCCAAAUCCGAACCAAUCGCUGGCGGACAAAGCAGGAGGCAAGGAGGGUAAAUGUUUCCUUUCCGGCGAAAUCCAUCCCAACCUUCGAAAAACAGGGAGGAGCCAUGGCUGGCCGCCAGCCUGAGGCCGGAGAACUUCCUUCCAGGGCUCGUAAUCGGGUUUCUUCUGGGCCUGUUUAUCGAUCUCACUGCUUCCAAUAGAAGCAGCUCCAAGGGGAAAUCCUCCUUUCCGUCGGGCAAGCACCAGUCGGUCGUUUCCUGCGGCAACGGUGAAGAACUCAAGAUGGUUCUAAUUGUUCGACAAGAUUUGAGGAUGGGAGCUGGAAAAAUUGCUUCUCAAUGUGCUCAUGCAGCCACUGGCAUGUAUGCAGAGAUGUCGCAAAGGCCCUCUAAUCUCUCUUCUUUCAGCCACCGAUCUCUUUUGAGGCAAUGGGAGCAAUGUGGCCAGCCUAAAAUAGUUUUGUCGUGCAAAAAUCAACAAGAAAUGAAUAAGAUGAAGGAAACAGCAGAUCGGUGUGGCCUUCCAACUUUUGUUGUUUCUGAUGCAGGGCGCACACAGAAUAUUCUAAUUCUGUCAUGAAACCCUUGAAGUUCUGAUGGUUCAAGCUGGGUCGAGGACAGUUCUUGCCAUUGGGCCAGGGAGGAAAGCAGAUAUUGAUUCGGUUACCGGAAAACUGCGGCUACUUUAAAAUGGGCAGCCACAAGGAUUUUCCAGUACAGGAAUGAGGAAGGCUCCUCUAUCUUGGUGUUUUUCCUAAGGGAUUCUUCCGAGGUGCCACGAGUGCAAGCAAAAGCCAUGAUUGUUCAGGGAUUUAGUGAAGUCUUAACUAAAGUACGACGACGGUCCUCUGCAUGGCCUCCUCUUCCCUAUCUUCUGUUGAAACAGCAGCUCUUGACCCGGGAAAGCCAAUCAAGCAAUGUUCAUAUCCAACUGCUAACUUCUGCAGGGUAUUGGACUUCCAUUUGAUUUCUAUUGGGGUAUUAUUGCAAAAGCUCCAAUGUGGUUUGAGUUCUGUGUAAUUUUCAUGUGUUUGUUGAACAACUCUUAACCUUUGAACGCACAUAUUUAUCCAAAAACGGCUCCUUGUAUGUUUUAGUUUGUACCUUUUCCUUUUUAAUCUAAUCAUAUUUCCUUGAAGUGUUA